AUUGAACGCUGGCGGCAUGCCUUACACAUGCAAGUCGAACGGCAGCACGGGUGCUUGCACCUGGUGGCGAGUGGCGAACGGGUGAGUAAUACAUCGGAACGUACCUUAUCGUGGGGGAUAACGCAGCGAAAGCUGUGCUAAUACCGCAUACGCCCUGAGGGGGAAAGCGGGGGAUCGCAAGACCUCGCGCGAUUAGAGCGGCCGAUGCCUGAUUAGCUAGCUGGGGGGGUAAAAGCCCACCAAGGCGACGAUCAGUAGCUGGUCUGAGAGGACGAUCAGCCACACUGGGACUGAGACACGGCCCAGACUCCUACGGGAGGCAGCAGUGGGGAAUUCUGGACAAUGGGGGCAACCCUGAUCCAGCAAUGCCGCGUGAGUGAAGAAGGCCUUCGGGUUGUAAAGCUCUUUUGUCAGGGAAGAAACACCGGCUCUAACACAGUCCGGGAAUGACGGUACCUGAAGAAUAAGCACCGGCUAACUACGUGCCAGCCGCCGCCGUAA
rnacentral:rRNA from 1 species